CUGACCCAAGAUGAGCAUUUAGGGGAGACUGUAUCCUACCUAACUCCUCACACAGACAGGACUGGGACCAUCUGCUCUCCCUUAUCACUACUACAUAGAUAAACUGUAUCCUACCUAACUCCUCACACAGACAGGACUGGGACCAUCUGCUCUCCCUUAUCACUACUACAUAGAUAAACUGUAUCCUACCUAACUCCUCACACAGACAGGACUGGGACCAUCUGCUCUCCCUUAUCACUACUACAUAGAUAUAUAUAGAUAGAUAGAUAGAUAGAUAGGCUCCUGUUUUUAAAUUCUACACAUCGGAAGGAAGGAACCGGUUGUCACGGAAAACUUCUCAAAUCUGUGGGAGAUCAAAACUAUGGGAGAUCAACGCUGUGGGAGAUCAACGCUGUGGGAGAUCAACGUUAUGGGAGCUCAACGCUAUGAGAGAUUAACGCUAUGAGAGAUUAACGCUAUGAGAGAUUAACGCUAUGAGAGAUUAACGCUAUGAGAGAUUAACGCUAUGAGAGAUUAACGCUACGGGAGAUCAACGAUACGGGAGGUCAACAAUACGGGAGGUCAACGCUACGGGAGGUCAACGCUACGGGAGGUCAACGCUACGGGAGGUCAACAAUACGGGAGGUCAACGCUACGGGAGGUCAACGCUACGGGAGGUCAACGCUACGGGAGGUCAACGCUACGGGAGAUCAACGCUACGGGAGGUCAACGCUACGGGAGGUCAACGCUACGGGAGAUCAACGCUACGGGAGAUCAACGCUGUGGGAGAUCAACGCUACGGGAGAUCAAUAUGGAGGUGAUCACCAACAGUCAGCCAGCCAUGGACGAUAGAGAAAGGAGUUUUAGAUUCACGAAAGAUAACCGCCAUUUGUUUGAUUGGGUUCUGUAUGUGUGGCUUUGAUAUCAUACAGAGAGUGAGAUGACUGCCUCUAAUAGCAGCCCCUGUGACACACUAUUCCUGCACUACAUUUGACCAGGGCCCAUAGCUCUAUGUAGGGAAUAGGGUGCCAAGUGUCUGAAAUGGUACCCUAUUUCCUACAGGCCCUGGUCAAAAGUAGUGCACUAUGUAGGGAAUAGGGUGCCAUUUGGAACUUAUUAACUUAGACAAUAAGAGGAUUUUACAAUGAGCACUUUUUUUUUUUUUUUACCCAGAUAGAGAUGGGGACAGAACAUUCUGAUAGUGAUCUGGCCUCCUAUGGACAAUGGACAUUAUAUCACACUAACAAUGCAUCGGGGGUGAACCAAUAGUAAUAUCAUUCUGAUAUGUGUGUGUACAAAUAAAACAUAGAAUUUGUAGUAAAUGAAUAUUGUAAUACGGUAUUUGGUUCUGGGAAGAAAAAAAAAAAAAUUUAGUUUGUCUUUUUAUUUGAAAUACUGACUAUCGUGAUCUUUUGUCUCAUUUUUAUAAUGUUUUUUUGUUUGAUCGUGUUGUCAGAUCUCAAUCGUUCAAAUUACAAAGCUCCAAAUCUUUUAACCCCCCUAUAACUUGAUAGUACCUUGAUCA